rnacentral:rRNA from 1 species
UACGGGGGGGGCAAGCGUUGUUCGGAAUUACUGGGCGUAAAGGGCUCGUAGGCGGCCAACUAAGUCGGAUGUGAAAUCCCCAGGCUCAACCUGGGAACUGCAUCCGAUACUGGAUGGCUUGAAUCCGGGAGAGGGAUGCAGAAUUCCAGGUGUAGCGGUGAAAUGCGUAGAUAUCUGGAGGAAUACCGGUGGCGAAGGCGGCAUCCUGGACCGGCAUCGACGCUGAGGAGCGAAAGCUAGGGGAGCAAACGGG